rnacentral:rRNA from 1 species
AGAGUUUGAUCAUGGCUCAGGACGAACGCUGGCGGCGUGCCUAAUACAUGCAAGUAGAACGCUGAAGAGAGGAGCUUGCUCUUCUUGGAUGAGUUGCGAACGGGUGAGUAACGCGUAGGUAACCUGCCUUGUAGCGGGGGAUAACUAUUGGAAACGAUAGCUAAUACCGCAUAACAAUGGAUGACACAUGUCAUUUAUUUGAAAGGGGCAAUUGCUCCACUACAAGAUGGACCUGCGUUGUAUUAGCUAGUAGGUGAGGUAAUGGCUCACCUAGGCGACGAUACAUAGCCGACCUGAGAGGGUGAUCGGCCACACUGGGACUGAGACACGGCCCAGACUCCUACGGGAGGCGGCAGUAGGGAAUCUUCGGCAAUGGGGGCAACCCUGACCGAGCAACGCCGCGUGAGUGAAGAAGGUUUUCGGAUCGUAAAGCUCUGUUGUAAGUCAAGAACGGGUGUGAGAGUGGAAAGUUCACACUGUGACGGUAGCUUACCAGAAAGGGACGGCUAACUACGUGCCAGCAGCCGCGGUAAUACGUAGGUCCCGAGCGUUGUCCGGAUUUAUUGGGCGUAAAGCGAGCGCAGGCGGUUUGAUAAGUCUGAAGUUAAAGGCUGUGGCUCAACCAUAGUUCGCUUUGGAAACUGUCAAACUUGAGUGCAGAAGGGGAGAGUGGAAUUCCAUGUGUAGCGGUGAAAUGCGUAGAUAUAUGGAGGAACACCGGUGGCGAAAGCGGCUCUCUGGUCUGUAACUGACGCUGAGGCUCGAAAGCGUGGGGAGCGAACAGGAUUAGAUACCCUGGUAGUCCACGCCGUAAACGAUGAGUGCUAGGUGUUGGAUCCUUUCCGGGAUUCAGUGCCGCAGCUAACGCAUUAAGCACUCCGCCUGGGGAGUA